CGCCCAAUAUCGAGCCCAUUAAUGCUAAGGCCGUGAAGCCGUUCCGGACCCUUCGGGGAAAGGAAAGUGGUGGAGCCGCUGACCCAAGGUGGUAGUAGGUAAGCGAU
rnacentral:rRNA from 1 species